GCUAAGGGAGAAAAAAAAAAAGUAGGGAAAGAAGGUAAGAAGUGUGAGUGUGCAAAUGUGUGUGUAUGUGUGGCCAUGUGAGGCCUCACUGAGAGGGUAACAUUUGUGUAAAUAGCUCAAGGAAGUGAGUACAACCUGAGGGAAUGAGUCAUAUGCAUAUUUCUGUGGCAAGAGCACCCCAAGCAAAGGGAAUGGGCAGUGAAAACAAGAUUUUAUGGUGCAAAUGUGACUAGUAAAUUUGAAAAAUAACCAGGAAGCAGGUGUAGCUGAUGCAGAGUGAGGGAGAAAGAUUAGGAAACUGGAUUGGGGGAGAGAGGCCCAAAUCACAGAGAGCAUUGUAGGUCACAGAAGAAAUAGAACUUUCUCUAGGAACAUGGGAAUGAUCUGAAGGUUCUGACUGAGGAAGGAAAGAGAUCUAACGUUUUUAAAAGAUCACACUGGCCACUGAGUAAAAAACAGCCUGGAGGAAAGCAAGAGUAGAAGCCAGAAACCUACAGUGACUAUCCCAGUGCCAGAUAGUGGUGGCUUGGACCAGGAUGAUAGCCAUGGAAGUGUUGAGAAGUAGCAGAAUUCUGAAUAUGUUUUGAAGACAGUACCCAUCCAAUUUACAGUAUGAAAAAAGUGAGAGGAAUUGAGAUUGACCCCAGAGUUUUGAGAAUAAGCAACUGGAACAAUGGAGCUGACAUGAAUUAAGCUGGUAAAGAUGAAUAUUUAAGAAGAAAUAAUCAGGAAUUCAUGCAUAAUAGUCUGAGUUGCCUAUUGACAUCUAAGUGGAGACGAUUCUUCUUCUUCAUCAUCAGGGUUAUAAGUCUCAGCACAGACUAAAAUUGGAAAGAAAAAACAAAGAGAAAAAUGAAUUUAACAGAUGUGUGAUUUUAGAGAAAAUAAAAUAUACACAUCUUAUAAGUUUUUACAGGUCCAGAAUAAAUUGCUGCAACUGGAGCAAGAUACAAUGCCAAAGCACACAGAGGAUGCUAAUCAAUGUCUACAGCAGUCAAAGAGACCAUUUUAAUCUAAUUUCAUUACUGCUUAGACAGCUCACAAGAGAGCACAUCAGUCUUUAUGUGGACCAGACAAAGGCUCCCUGAUUCCCCACAGUCUUGGACAGCUGUAAGACCAGUGGAAAGAAAGUGGGAGACUUGGACAACCCAAACAAGGUGGAAUUGAGCAGAACCAGUUGGAAAUGUUCCCUAUGAGUGGGUCAGCAGUGGACAUAGCACUUCUGUUACAGUAGGAACACACCAGAGCAAAGGGAGUCAUUGCAGACUGAAUUUUAUAAAGAUCACAUUGACUGCAGUGAUAGAGGGAGACAGGUUUCGAUGUGUGGCUUAUGAAGAAGAAGAAAACAAAUGGAUUCCAGAGAUGAGAUAAAGCUAUACAGUUCAGUGACAGAUUCAAUGUCUAAAUGUUUACUUUACAAAUGUCAAUCAGAUGAAAUUAUAUUCCUAAAAUUAUAAAAGACAAAAUAGUCAA